rnacentral:rRNA from 1 species
AACGAACGCUGGCGGCAGGCCUAACACAUGCAAGUCGAGCGCCCCCUUCGGAGGGCAGCGAUCAGCGGUCGGCAUGACAGCGAUCAGAGUGAUCUGAUUGCUGAUCGGCUGAUAGCUGAUGGCUGCCUUCCGAGUGGGGGAGCGGCGGACGGGUGAGUAACGCGUGGGAAUUUUCCUCAAGGUAGGGAACAACUCAGGGGAAACUUGGGGCUAAUACCCAUGAUGCAGAGAU